GACGAACCGUCCAAACGUUAUUCGGAAUUACUGGGCUUAAAGGGUGCGUAGGCGGUGCUACAAGUCGGGUGUGAAAUCCCUCAGCUUAACUGAGGAACUGCGCCCGAAACUGUAGUGCUGGAGUGAGGCAGGGGUGAGCGGAACUGAUGGUGGAGCGGUGAAAUGUGUUGAUAUCAUCAGGAACACCGGUGGCGAAGGCGGCUCACUGGGCCUUUACUGACGCUGAGGCACGGAAGCUAGGGGAGCAAAAGGG
rnacentral:rRNA from 1 species